UUUAAGCACUCCAGGAAUUGUUUACCUAGUCAAGGGGAUAAUUUUGGCAUUAACCUUCAGUCAAUGAACAAAACAGAACUUUAGACAAUGAGGUCUUCUUAUAAAUUUGCCUGAUUCUCUUUUGUUCCAGGUUCAGAAAUAUUCUCCCACUGAAAAGUCUCUGGAGUAUAAAAUUAUGUCUCUCCCUCUCCAUCUUCAUUGUAUGAGAUGCCCAGAAAAUCCCGCUGUUGCAAAUGGAACUAACUAGAAGCACAGGUGAAGUACUUCAAUCCCUCACCUUUCUUUUGAGGCCUUAGGGAUUCACCUUCUGGGCUGGAGCCAGAGCUGGUUUGAGUCAUCAAGGGAGCCAAACAUACCUCCUGAGAUCCUGGGGAAACUUUCUGCAGAAAAGAUCCAAAAAAGGAGAAUCUAAACUCUAUUACCUGUGAAUCUAUUUUUUGUUUUUGCCUCCCCCCACCCCACACCUAAUUCAUUUAAAAAUGUCUUGCAUCAGGUGAGACUUUUACAUACAGAAACAGAUAUUUUUAAACAAGCAGGCCUGAAUGUGUACCUAUGAAUCUCUCUCCUCUUCAACAGAGGACAAUAGUCUUAGGAAAAAGGUGCAGCCAUUGUUCAAACCUUUUCUGGCCCUCUUUUCUUGAAAUUGCAUUUGGAGUCUGCAACACAUCCUCUUGAAUAUUUUCUCUUGUGAUUUUUUUUUUAAUGCUCUUGACUUUAAGAAAAGUAGCUAAAGUCAAUUUAAACCAGGUUUAGUGAUUAAACUGAGAAAUACCAUUUGGGGCUAAAAAUGAUCUGUGAGUAUAAAAUAAGGAGGAAGAAGGUCUUUUGUUGUCCUUAAGGUGGCUCUGGCAGUAAUGAUUUUCUUCUGAGGCACAGGAAAGCUUUUCAGGGGAGGCACCCUCACCUUGGUAAAAAGGCAAUUCGAGAUCAGGCUGUGGCUACCUGCUAAAGAGCUUUCUUUCUUCUCUGUUCCCGCGUUACAAUACUGCCCCUUUUUGAUCUUUGCCCAGUGUUUAUCCUUCACAUUUUCAUUUAAUGAGAAUGACAACUGUCUGAACCCCAAGGGGAAUUGGUGAAGAAUUUAAAUCCUUCCUUUGCAUGUAUGUCCUCUACAUAAAGUUACCAUGGUUUCUGGAUUCCAUCAGAAGUCUCUCAUUUUCCCCUUCAACAUCGAUUGCUUACUCCCUUCUGGAAGUGUCCACGCUGGAAUUCGGCCUCACUGUUUGAAGUUCUGUGUUGCUAAGAGAUGCUGUUUUGCAGUAAACCCAAGUGUGAACACACACUAAGUAAGGCCUUUCUGUACCUCUGCAAAUAUCCACUUGUGCUUAUGCCCAGGGCAAGGAGGACAUUCUUUUCAUUUGUUUCAAGAGCUAGGUGGCCACCAAUGGCGGCUGGUCAAAAUAGAAGACGGGAAGAAGCAGCUUGUUCAGGGUUGAGCUUGCUACUGUAUUUGCUAGUGCACCACAUCUGGUUUUCUUCCAAGACAAUAAAAAUAAUAAUAAUUUCUCCCUCUCUCAGGAAGGAAAUGCAAUUUUUAAAGGAUAACAAGUAAUGAAGCUGAAUGGUGUCUCUAGUCACCUACCUUAAGCCUCCUUUUCUGGGAGAGGAAACUGAGGCCCCAGAGAAAUGGAAUCCUUUGACUUAAAUCAGUUCAUCACAGGUCAGCCUGGGACUAGAGCUCAGUUUUUCCGACUCCCCGUAAUACAUCCUCGGUGCUGCCUCCCUGGGAACUGAAAUUGUGUAGAAUAUCUUAUGAUCGAUAAUAAUACCAUUGACAUACAAUCAACAGGGCAUUUUUUCCCUUUGGCAGAAAUGAUGGAUUUAUACCAAUGAUUCUCCUUCUUCAUCACUCUGUAAACAAAUAACUUAUAUGUAUUAAAAUAGGCUCUCUCUGAGUUCCUCCAGAGACUUCAAGCUCUUUGAAGACCCAAGGGUGCAUCCUUCAUAUCCUGUGCUUAGUAGGGACUCAGUAAAUGGUGAGUGGAUGGAUGGAUAACACAAGGCGAAACCACCUCACCCACAAGGGACUGCAUGGAUUCCCCCAUUAGGCCAAUGAAUUUAAACAGCCACAGGCAGAAGUAAGUGCUACCAUGUUUACCUCUGUUAUUUUGAUGGAGAUGGCUUAUUUUAAGAAUAUCAAUGCAAUAAAGUAAAUCAAAAUCCGAAAUAAAAUGUUACUUAUCCGAA